ACUCCUACGGGAGGCAGCAGUGGGAAUAUUGCACAAUGGGCGCAAGCCUGAUGCAGCCAUGCCGCGUGUGAGAAGGCCAUCGGGCUUGUAAGACACUUUCAGUUGUGAGGAAAGGUUAGUCGCUAAUAUCGGCUAGCUGUGACGUUAGCAACAGAAGAAGCACCGGCUAACUCCGUGCCAGCAGCCGCGGUAAUACGGAGGGUGCGAGCGUUAAUCGGAAUUACUGGGCGUAAAGCGCGUGUAGGUGGCUUGUUAAGCCAGAUGUGAAAG
rnacentral:rRNA from 1 species